rnacentral:lncRNA from 1 species
CAGUGCCUCCUCUUCCCUAGAGUAUAAUGGUCAUAUGUGGAAGGGGAUGUCCUGACCUUUAGGCUUGCUUCCUUUUCCCACUGCCUAAGAGUCUAUUUUCUGUGUGUGCCCAUUUCUUUGAUGGCUUUAUGCUCUUUGUGAAAGUUGUAUAAUUCAUUGCUAAAUCUUUAAAUGAUAAAAGUUCAAAAAGUAAAGUAUGUUACCCCCGAACUCACCACCCUUAUUUAACCAUUGUCAGCCCUUGUGGUGAAUGUCUUUCUGGAUAUUUUCCUGUACCUAUGAACCCAGAUAGAUAUAUGUAUAGAUAAAAGUGACCAAAUAUAAGUGCUGUUCUAUAUGCUGUAUUUUUUCACCAAACAAUAUAUGUUGUGAGCUUCUAUGUCAAUAAAUAUAUCAG